CGAUGCUCAGGGCAAACCAGUAGAAAUGCUGGGACGCAAAGCUUCGGGUCUACGGGUUAAUACCUAUGAUAGCCGGGCUGCCAUG
rnacentral:ncRNA from 2 species